AUGGAUUCUGCGCUCAUCUCCACAUGGAAACAGAUCGUGUCUCUCCCAAAUUGCAGCAAGGAAUUUAGGGCAUGCAUCUCCUGCGCUCAUGGAGCUUAUUACAUUUUCUCAAUCCCUCAACCAAGAUGGGCAGGGGGUGGGGGAUAUGGAGAAGGACGGAGCUCCUGUUGUGGUUGGUGUCAUCGCAAAUGGUGGAUGUUGACCAUGCUGUCCCAUGGAGGGAAGGUAAUCUUGAAGAACAACUAUCUCGCAAAGACAUUGACCAUCCACUCAGCGCAACAGCAGGGUAAGCAUGAACACUAUGAUUUGUCGAAAACAACUAAAAGAAUCAUACUAUGUUAG
rnacentral:rRNA from 1 species